CGGGUGUAGCUCAGUUGGUUAGAGUGCCGGCCUGUCACGCCGGAGGUCGCGGGUUCGAGCCCCGUCACUC
rnacentral:tRNA from 7 species